AUGCAGUGCCAUCCGAGCAGCAACCUUACUAUUCAGGAAGUUAUUAGUGCUACCCGUGUCGAUGAGAACAGUGAUCGGCUGUUGUUUGAGAAGGCCUCCAACUUUCAUCGUUUGCGGAUUUGAGUAGCCGGCUAGUGCGUGUACCGUAAUGUCGGUCGGCUGUGGCUCUUCUUCCAUAUCUUCUUCUUCAUGUUCAAGGCUCUCUUCUAGAUGUU
rnacentral:lncRNA from 1 species